rnacentral:rRNA from 1 species
CCUACGGGAGGCAGCAGUGGGGAAUAUUGGACAAUGGGGGGAACCCUGAUCCAGCCAUGCCGCGUGUGUGAAGAAGGCCCUCGGGUUGUAAAGCACUUUCAGUGAGGAAGAACGCCUGGUGGUUAAUACCCAUCAGGAAAGACAUCACUCACAGAAGAAGCACCGGCUAACUCCGUGCCAGCAGCCGCGGUAAUACGGAGGGUGCGAGCGUUAAUCGGAAUUACUGGGCGUAAAGCGCGCGUAGGUGGCUUGAUAAGCCGGUUGUGAAAGCCCCGGGCUCAACCUGGGAACGGCAUCCGGAACUGUCAAGCUAGAGUGCAGGAGAGGAAGGUAGAAUUCCCGGUGUAGCGGUGAAAUGCGUAGAGAUCGGGAGGAAUACCAGUGGCGAAGGCGGCCUUCUGGACUGACACUGACACUGAGGUGCGACAGCGUGGGUAGCAAACAGGAUUAGAUACCCCAGUAGUC